UUCUUAAUUAAUAUACUUAUUGACAAAUUAGAGAACGAAAAUGAUCGCUUUCUCUCAAAUAAGCUCAAAAGGAGAAUGAACCGUGUAAAACUAAGGAAUAUAUUGAUAGCGAACAGCUUUAAAGCGAAACGCUUGAUACCAAAAGUUGCAAACGACUUCAAAACUAUACAGAAUUAUCCCGACGACGUCUUUUUUGGCCAUUUCCGAAUGUCACGUGACACUUUUAAGGCAUUGAAAACGACCCUUUAACCAUUCUGGAGUACUAAUCUGCGCGGGCGUAUGGGAUAUUCUUUGCAGAAGUGCCUGUAUGUGACCUUGUGAAGGUUGGUUAAUACUAAUCUAACGUUCCGGCAAUUAAGCGACCGCUUUAAUAUAUCUAAAGCAACAGCGCACAAGCCACUAUUUGUCGUGGGUUAAAGCAUGAAAUUAAGUGGCCUUCCGCUGAAACUCAGUGUGGAAUACUGGAAAGUAUUCAGAACACCAGAAAUAAUCUCUUCCCCUUUGUAAUUGGAUGUCUAGAUGGCACUCACUUCAAAAUACCGACCCCAAACACGGAUGCUAUAAGUUAUUACAAUCGGAAAGGAACCCAUUCCAUAAUAAUGCAAGCCAUAUGCGACAAUAAAUUCCGUUUCCUGGACGUGUUUACUGGUUACCCAGGAAGCUGUCACGAUGCGAAGGUAUG